GCCAUUUUGGAGUCUGGCAGCUGCGACGGGCGCCGUGUCCGGCCGGGGAAAGGGAGGAGCCAGUCAGUCUUAGGGAGAAGGAGAGGAAAGUGCUGAAUGGAGGGCGUGAGUGCCGAGUAGGAAAAUGUGAAUGAGUCUCUCCAGCGCCCUUCAGCAUGGAGCCACCCAGUUAGCAAGUUCCAAGAUCCACGGGAAACCGGGCACCUCCUGCAAUUCAAACAGUGUCUUCCUGUGUUGCCCAAGCUAAUCUCGAACUCCUGGGUUCCAGGGAUCCUCCUACCCCGGCCUCCCCUCCCAAAGUGCUGGGGUUACAGGCGUGAACCACCAUGCCCGGCCCCACUAGUGUUUUAGAAACCUUGUCGUCGUUCACAAACGUACCGGUCACUUCUUAAGUGUUAGACAUAACCUUGAUCAUGUUCCAGCGCCUCAACUUAAUAAACCAAAAAGCUCUCCUGUGAGACUGUCUAGCUCUCAUCCUUUAUUUCAAUUCAUCCCUCAAGUACUGGCUAAG
rnacentral:lncRNA from 1 species